rnacentral:piRNA from 1 species
ACAGAGAUAAGGAACAGGUAGGC